rnacentral:rRNA from 1 species
AUUGAACGCUGGCGGCAUGCCUUACACAUGCAAGUCGAACGGUAACGGGCCUUCGGGUGCCGACGAGUGGCGAACGGGUGAGUAAUACAUCGGAACGUGCCAGAUCGCGGGGGAUAACGAGGCGAAAGCUUUGCUAAUACCGCAUACGAUCUACGGAUGAAAGCAGGGGACCUCAAGGCCUUGCGCGGACGGAGCGGCCGAUGGCAGAUUAGGUAGUUGGUGGGAUAAAAGCUUACCAAGCCGACGAUCUGUAGCUGGUCUGAGAGGAUGAUCAGCCACACUGGGACUGAGACACGGCCCAGACUCCUACGGGAGGCAGCAGUGGGGAAUUUUGGACAAUGGGCGCAAGCCUGAUCCAGCCAUGCCGCGUGCAGGAUGAAGGCCUUCGGGUUGUAAACUGCUUUUGUACGGAACGAAAAGCCUUCUUUUAAUACAGGAGGGUCAUGACGGUACCGUAAGAAUAAGCACCGGCUAACUACGUG